ACAGAAGGCUUCCAAAGUACAAC
rnacentral:siRNA from 1 species